GCGACAAAAAAGUCUCAUACAAUGACUUGUGAAUCCGUUGACCAAAUGACGGAGAAAGAAAAAGUGCAGAAGUCAAAGCAGGUCUCAUCCGACAACAGCAGAACCAGGACGAACGAUCACGACCGCUUGACAUACGAUCCAUGUUCCAGCAAGCCAGUGGAUACAAAGAAAAAAAUGAAAAGGAGCGAUGACCUAAAGGCAUAACAGAAGCAGUACUUUGUAAGUAAGUUGAGGCUGCAUGAUGAAAAAAUGAAGCUGAUAGCAGCGAAGAUGGAAAGGGUGAAGAACCAGGGGGAUUUCUACCGGAACAUGACUAAUGUACUAGCGCAGACCAGACAGAUGACGGAAAAUGAACAAUAGUACGCUUUUAUUAAACUUGUAUGCAUUAUGCGACGGUUAGUUCUUUUUAUGUGAUCAAUAACCACUGUCACACACAUGGGUAACUGUUGUUCUGU